GCACCUUCGGGUGUGAAUUAGCGGCGAACGGGUGAGGAACACGUGAGAAAUCUGCCUUCAACACUGGGAUAACUCCGGGAAACCGGGGCUAAUACCGGAUAUGAAACCUGCGGGCAUCCGCGGGUUUGGAAAGUUUUUCGGUUGAAGAUGAUCUCGCGGCCUAUCAGCUUGUUGGUGAGGUAAUGGCUCACCAAGGCGACGACGGGUAGCCGGCCUGAGAGGGCGACCGGCCACACUGGGACUGAGACACGGCCCAGACUCCUACGGGAGGCAGCAGUGGGGAAUAUUGGGCAAUGGAGGAAACUCUGACCCAGCGACGCCGCGUGCGGGAUGAAGGCCUUCGGGUUGUAAACCGCUUUCAGCAGGGAAGAAGCGAAAGUGACGGUACCUGCAGAAGAAGCACCGGCUAACUAUGUGCCAGCAGCCGCGGUAAUACAUAGGGUGCAAGCGUUGUCCGGAAUUAUUGGGCGUAAAGAGCUCGUAGGUGGUUCGUCACGU
rnacentral:rRNA from 1 species